UUUCACCUAAAUCCAACUCUCCCUCCUUUGCACCCAAGAUCUACCUCCACCCCAGAUCUACCUCCUUCACAUGCCAAAUUUGGUUCACCUCCGCGUGAUUAGUGGUGGCAAUGAUUCUCCCUCCUCCGCACACCAGAUUGAGAACCAUACCUCACACCAACGUGAAGGCCACAAGCCCGCCCAAAAACCCUAAUCACACCCGUAUCCUUCACUACGACAUAUCCUUUGUUUUUUGAAUCAUUUCCGUUCAGCUUGAAACAUGUGUCUGUUACUGUCGUUGGUGGAUUUUCAUUGAAGGGAGAAAAGAUGGCAGUUCGUUUGAUGACAGAACGUUAGGUUUGCAUUUCUCGUGUGCACUGGCGGAUGUGUAGAUGCUCUUAUCAACAACCAUUGCGAUUUUGUACAUAUGAUUGUAUUCACUUUGUGAAGUGGUGCCUAUGCAUAUAUGGUACACCAUUAAAAUCUGUAUAAUUAUUAAUGUGUUGUGAUGGCUUAGGAGCAUGAGGAUGAUGGAACAUGUAUAUUCUUUAAAGAAGGGAUUCGCAAAAGGAAAUGUCGUUCCCUACAUAUCCUCAUGAAUAUCAGAAUCCAAAUGCUUCAAGUGAUAUCAUUUUAGAUGAAACAGUCUCAACAUGGAACAUCUUGAUUCACCCAUGUUCGAACAGAAAAAUCUGGACCGUCAAAAAUUUUUAUUGUUAUUGGAUGGCGUAACUUAAUGAAUCCAUAAGAAAUCUCCAUAGGGAUGCUUGUGUGUUCAAAGAUCUAUAAGGCAAGAGAAGAGGGAUUGCUUAUGAAAUGUUACAGUGUGUACAUGGAUGAACAAUAAUAACAAACGAUGACGUUUAGGAACUUUAGUGAUCAAGUAUGAAGAAAAUCUCAUUGGUAGUUCACCAAGAAAAGGUAUAAAAUGGUAGUUAUUUUUACUAUCAUUGGACAGUAUACGAAAGCUUUGUUUGGUGGACCUACCAACUUAAGGAACAUAUGAUUUCCUCUAAAGAUGAAGUUAUUUAAAUCAAAUCUGGUGGGUUAAGAAAACUUAUGCUGGAGGCUGUUACGUUUGGUUCCGUUUUGUGGGAUGUUGAGAGCUACGCUGGUUCCAGGAUCAAGUUAAGAUGAUGAUAGCGGAGUCAUCAUGAGAGACAUGAUGGAGUGGACGCAUAUGUUGUAUGUGGUCGUGGGAUUGCAUGGCUAGGAUCGAACACUACAUAUGAUAACAAGGUGUUUUGUAUUACAAAGAAGAUGAAGAUGUCUAUUGUUUUAUUAGUAACCCUUGUGAUUGUGUGAUUUAUUUUAUAUUGUAAAUAAAUAACAGUUUUAAGUAAUCAAAUUAAUUUGAUGAACA